AAUGAAAAGCAGUAGUAGGAAGUGAGUUUCUAUCAAUUAGUUUCUCGUUAUUGUAAAUUGAGUUGAUAGUAAUGUUGAAUGACAUAUCAUUUUUAUUUGAUUAUGUUUUUUUUAAAUGAUAUUGAUGCUGGAUUAUGAGAUUAUUUUCUGAGAUAAGAAUAGAUUGUUGUCCUACUUAUUCAAAUUAUUUUAUUAGAAUUUCAAUUCCAGGCUUCAAAGAAUUUCAUUGACAUGUAAUGGUUCUUUAAAAAGAAAAAUAAUAAUUUAUUAGUAGGUUAUAGCAGGCCAUCAUCUUUUUGUUGAUUGUGAAAUUUUUGGAAGGUUGAUAAAGAUGCAUAUGGUAGAAUCACAUGAGAUGGAAUCAUAACAGUUAAAUAAUAAAUAAUAAAUAAGAAAAUUACAAAUAUGUAAAGUCAAUAUUUAAGGAAAUAUGCUAAUUAAUUAAUGGCUGAAAUCAAUGGUUGAGUGAUUAUUGCACUAAUAGAGAGUUUUGCAUCUUGAGAGAAGUUGUUAUAGAUUGUAAUUCACCUUUGUAAUAUCCUUUGCUUAUUUUGUCUUUCUAUUAGUUACUUAUAUUAAGUUAUUUAUUUAUUUAAUGAAUUUUGGUUUUUGCUUGUGCAGGAGUAGUCUUUGUGAUAAUUUGAGGUUUAUCGCUAAUGCUAUUAUAGAGAGAAUGAAGAAUUGGAUUUGAUUAGAGUUUUUGCUAAUAUUAUGUAAAAUUACCAUUGAGAAAAAAUAGAGUAAUAUAAGAAUUACUAUUUUGCAUUAUUAAUUUCUUGUACACUAUACUUGUUAAAAAUAUUGUAUUAAUUGACAAUUACAUAAGG
rnacentral:lncRNA from 1 species